rnacentral:rRNA from 1 species
UAAAAGCACGUGAAACCGUUGAAAGGGAAACGCGCUCGGCUAGCAAUGUGUCUGGGUGGUUCAGCCGGUUUGAGGGUAGAGGCGGUUGCUGUCGGAUCCGAAUGGACCGUGGUGGUUGUCGUCUGCUCUCGAACUGCGGUGCACUCUACCUAGACACGCGUCAGCGUCGGUUCGCAGUUCAGGCGAAAAGGCCAGUCGGAAGGUAGCUCCAGCUUGCUGGAGCAUUAUAGCCGGCUGUGCUGGGUCUGGUGCGGACCGAGGAGAGAGAGGAUCGCUGCAGCGCAUGCCGCAAGGCUAGCUGCCCGUUGCUCGGUGUGCUUCACACGUUGAGGACUGCACGCAGUGUUCGGUGUGGCGGAGUGGCCAGGUGGUGGAGCAGUAUAAAUGCGCUUAGGACGCUGGCGUCCAAAUGGCCGUGCGCGA